UACGGAGGAUCCAAGCGUUAUCCGGAUUCACUGGGUUUAAAGGGUGCGUAGGUGGAAUGACAAGUCAGUGGUGAAAACCUGCAGCUUAACUGUAGAACUGCCAUUGAUACUGUUAUUCUUGAGUACAUUUGAUGUGAGUGGAAUGUGUCGUGUAGCGGUGAAAUGCUUAGAUAUGACACAGAACACCAAUUGCGAAGGCAGCUCACAAAACUGUAACUGACACUGAGGCACGAAAGCGUGGGGAU
rnacentral:rRNA from 1 species